AUUCCACCUUGUCUGGUCACUCCAUGCCCCCUCUCCAUCUUUCUUGUAGGCUCCUCUCAGACCCUGGAAGGCCACAGUAAGCAAGGCACAGAGAGCAGAUGCCGUCUGCUUUGACGUUUACAACCCAGCAAAGGAGGUGCCAAAAGCCCAGCGAGGGAGCUGCUCACACAGGGAUGCAGUGGCAGCACCUGUGGCAGCAGCACUGGUCCAGGACUGAGUGUCCCAGCAUCUGUCCUGGGGCUCCUGCCAGCCCAGACUUUUCAGCCUCCCUCUGCCUAAGGAGCCGUGUGUGACCGUGCACAGCCCGUGCCUUGUGGGGAUGACGCGCCUGGGAGCCAGCGAGUGUCUGCCACGGGCUGUUGGUACAGGAUUGCUGGUGGAUCCUGCUGGUGGAUCCUGCUGAUGGAUCCCAUGCUUCUCUAUCCAGACUGUGCUACAGCUCCACCUUACAUUCAGACCUGCCAAUACAAUUACUGGGGGACAAACUGAUGUGGGCAGAGGGAAAAUCUCUUGUGAUCUGGUGACAGCACGUGCUGAAGUUGUGCUGCUGCUUGAGUAGGCUGUGAUGGUCUCUGGAAUGUCAGGGGUGCUGCUGUUGUGGUGUCUUAAGAGAGCUCUUGAUUGAUUUGGUUGAACCUCCUGAUGCAGCAGAAAGGUCUGAAAUGCUCUCCUGAGAGCAGAGAUGCCAAGUUUAUUCAUUUUCUGAUCAGAACUCCUCACUGCUGUGGUUCUGCUUUAGUUAUCCUGAAUCUUGGUGCCAUGUGUUAGUUUCUGAGUUUGUGCUGCUCAAGAGAAGAGCCCAGCACUUCCCUGUAGGUUCUCACUUAAUUCAGGUAUCAUCAGACUAUAACAGAUCACUCUCAGGUAUUAAAGUGGCUCCAAGGCCAAGGUUAAGCUCCUUGUGGAUGCCAGAAGAGUCCAUGGACACCUUCUGAGCAAAUCUCAGACCAGAGAUGAUCUCUGUAGACCCUUUCAAUCUCAUUUAAAAGAAUGUUGUGACUAUUUGGACAGAGGAGUCCCUGCCCACCCUUCUCCUGUGCGUGUGAUGCUUUCAUGAAGCUCAUUCCAGCUUGCUGCAUUUUGGGUUUCUGGGUCAGGAGCAGAAAAGGUCCCAGAUCCUCCACCAAAGCCCCCUCAUUUCUUCUGCACAGAUCUUCUUU